rnacentral:rRNA from 1 species
GACGAACGCUGGCGGCGUGCCUAAUACAUGCAAGUCGAGCGAACCAAUAAGAAUCUUGCUUUUUGUUGGUUAGCGGCGCACGGGUGAGUAACACGUGGGUACCCUGCCUGUAAGACCGGGAUCACUCCGGGAAACCGGUGCUAAUACCGGAUAGAUUAUCUUUCCGCAUUGAGAGAUAAGGAAAGAUGGCUAUUGCCAUCACUUACAGAUGGGCCCGCGGCGCAUGAGCUAGGUUGUGGGGUAACGGCUUACCUAGGCGGCGAUGCGUAGCCGACCGGAGGGGCUGGUAGGCGACAUUGGGACGUAGACACGGACCAGAGGCCUGCGCGAGGGCGCAGUCGCGUAUCGUCAGCAAUGGUCGGAAGUCUGGCGGAGCGAGCGCGAGUGAGAGGAGGAGGUCUUGGGAUCGUAAAGCUCGGUUGUUAGGGAAAAACAGGUAUCGGAUGAAAUGCCGGUACCUUGACGGUACCUGGCGAGAAAGCCACGGCUAACUACGUG